rnacentral:rRNA from 1 species
UACGUAGGUGGCAAGCGUUGUCCUGAAUUAUUGGGCGUAAAGCGCGCGCAGGCGGCCUCUUAAGUCUGAUGUGAAAGCCCCCCGGCUCAACCGGGGGAGGGCCAUUGGAAACUGGGAGGCUUGAGUAUAGGAGAGAAGAGUGGAAUUCCACGUGUAGCGGUGAAAUGCGUAGAGAUGUGGAGGAACACCAGUGGCGAAGGCGACUCUUUGGCCUAUAACUGACGCUGAGGCGCGAAAGCGUGGGGAGCAAACAGG